GGGCCAAUAGCUCAGUUGGUAGAGCACCUGCUUUGCAAGCAGGGGGUCUGGGGUUCGAAUCCCCAUUGGUCCACCA
rnacentral:tRNA from 1 species